GAAAUGCGAUACGUAAUGCGAAUUGCAGAAUUCAGUGAAUCAUCAAAUCUUUGAACGCAAGUUGCGCUCUCGGGAAAGGCCUGAGAGCAUGCCUCCUUGAGUAUCGGUUCUACCUCACGACAAUUUUUGUUCUGUGGAUGGUGGGCGCUUUUUUUUUCUUUGGGAAGAAAAUCGCCUGAAACUUAGAAGAGCUCGACGGGGUUUUGCCGCGCAUCCUCCGAAGCCACGUAGUUAGUUUCACCUCUGUGUGAAAAACAAAAAUGAUUACGUACUUUGGGAUGCGCGCUCCCCCCCAAACAACAACAAUUCGAGCGGCCGAGAGAGAGAGAGAGAGAGAGAUCUAUAUAUACAUACAUCUCUCUUUCUCACCUUUUUUACUUUCGAAAUAAGAUCUCAAGUG
rnacentral:misc_RNA from 1 species